rnacentral:rRNA from 1 species
UACGAAGGGGGCUAGCGUUGCUCGGAAUUACUGGGCGUAAAGGGCGCGUAGGCGGAUAGUUUAGUCAGAGGUGAAAGCCCAGGGCUCAACCUUGGAAUUGCCUUUGAUACUGGCUGUCUUGAGUUCGGGAGAGGUGAGUGGAAUGCCGAGUGUAGAGGUGAAAUUCGUAGAUAUUCGCAAGAACACCAGUGGCGAAGGCGGCUCACUGGCCCGAUACUGACGCUGAGGCACGAAAGCGUGGGGAGCGAACAGGG